UCCAUAAAUAAUGUAAUCCAUUUAUCGCGAGGAAAAUGUAUUACCCGCCGGCGCCGCCCACGAGCCAAGUAAUUGCACCACACAACAAUCAUUUUUCAGCUUCCAUUUUUGGUUCUGCGAUUAAAGAAGAGCAAAUCGGACGCCCAUUUUGUGUGAUCUUGAAAAGAAAUCAUGGGUUCGAAUCAAAACCCUACCUCUGGUUUAGCUUCCUUUGCAGUUCGAUCAAAAUGGCUGUUGUCCGCUCACUUUCCAUGCCAGGGUUGGCGUUCACUUCUCAAUCCGCUGGCUACAAGCUCAGUGACUUGGUCUUGGUGUAUAAAGCUUCUCUGUGUUCUCAUCUGGGCAACGCCCGAAUUCUAGAUAGGAACAAACCUAGAUGCCAUAAUCCCUAAUUAAUCUCCGAUGAGUAUUGCAGAGAGCGAUCUGCGAGAAAUUCUGAGUUCAAUCGUAAGAAUUUGGGGUUAUCCAGAAGGCUUUUCUGGGGCGAGUUUGAGGACUGAAAAGUUCGAGUAGCUGCAGAUAUUGGCUAUAUUUGGAUGCAACUGUUCUAGCUAGAUGCUGAAGUG